rnacentral:rRNA from 1 species
AUUGAACGCUGGCGGCAGGCCUAACACAUGCAAGUCGAGCGGCGCGGCAGACGGGUGAGUAAUGCCUAGGAAUCUGCCUGGUAGUGGGGGAUAACGUCCGGUAACGGGCGCUAAUACCGCAUACUAUCAGAUGAGCCUAGGUCGGAUUAGCUAGUUGGUGGGGUAAAGGCCGACCAAGGCGACGAUCCGUAUCUGGUCUGAGAGGAUGAUCAGUCACACUGGAACUGAGACACGGUCCAGACUCCUACGGGAGGCAGCAGUGGGGAAUAUUGGACAAUGGGCGAAAGCCUGAUCCAGCCAUGCCGCGUGUAUGAAGAAGGUCUUCGGUUUGUAAAGCACUUUAAGUUGGGAGGCGUUACCAACAGAAUAAGCACCGGCUAACUACGUGCCAGCAGCCGCGGUAAUUC